rnacentral:rRNA from 1 species
GACAGAAGGUGCAAGCGUUACUCGGAAUUACUGGGCGUAAAGCGUCUGUAGGUGUCCUUCCACGUCUGGCGUAAAAUUUCAGUGCUCAACACUGAAUGCGUGCCGGAAACGAGAGGGAUCGAGUUAUUCAGAGGCAUCUGGAAUGUCGUGUGUAGGGGUAAAAUCCGUAGAUACACGAUGGAACGCCAAAAGCGAAGGCAGGAUGCUGGGAAUAUACUGACACUCAGAGACGAAAGCGUGGGGAGCAAAGGGG